UCGGGACGGGCAGAGUCGCUCGRCGGUUGAUUUCCGACGGACCCUUAUCCAAGGCCGGGCCGUCAGCGACGUCUCUUUCCGGCCCGACGCAUUUCCUCCCGCACUGAGGACGCCGCAGCCGGUUGGGUAGCUGCGCGAGUCGGCCAUGAGGGCGAGCCGCGCAGGUGGCCGGGAGCGCGGUUUCGGCCGCGCCUCCGGUUGUUAGCUGGCACGCCCGUGGCGCGACACCCGACCGAGGUUGAUCGGUUCCCGUACGGGAACUAGCCGUCCCCUCCUAAAUGAAGCGGGCGCUCCGGCAGGCGUACGCCCGGCGUCGUCGCGUCACUCUUCGUAGUGGCCGACGCGUCGGGUUCGCCGCUGGUAGGACGCGUCCCGCGGGGGCUCCGGUGGCUAGCGGCGAGUAGGUCGGUCACCCACCCGACCCGUCUUGAAACACGGACCAAGGAGUCUAACACGCGCGCGAGUCACGGGGUCUUGAUUAGGCCCAGAGGCGCAAUGAAAGUGAAGGUCGACCUCGACGUCGGCUGAGUUGGGACUUCUUCUCCCCNNNNNNNNNNNNNNNNNNNNNNNNGGGAGGCACCAACGACCCGUCCUAUCCGAUUUAUCGGUUGGGCGGAGUCUGAGCGCGCGCGUUGGGACCCGAAAGAUGGUGAACUAUGCCUGGGCAGGACGAAGCCRGAGGAAACUCYGGUGGAGGU
rnacentral:rRNA from 1 species